UACGUAGGUGGCAAGCGUUGUCCGGAAUUAUUGGGCGUAAAGCGCGCGCAGGCGGUCCUUUAAGUCUGAUGUGAAAGCCCACGGCUCAACCGUGGAGGGUCAUUGGAAACUGGGGGACUUGAGUACAGAAGAGAAGAGUGGAAUUCCACGUGUAGCGGUGAAAAUGCGUAGAGAUGUGGAGGAACACCAGUGGCGAAGGCGACUCUUUGGUCUGUAACUGACGCUGAGGCGCGAAAGCGUGGGGAGCAAACAGG
rnacentral:rRNA from 1 species